rnacentral:rRNA from 1 species
GUAAUCCGGGUUGCGGACAGUGUCUGGUGGGUAGUUUGACUGGGGCGGUCUCCUCCUAAAGAGUAACGGAGGAGCACGAAGGUUGGCUAAUCCUGGUCGGACAUCAGGAGGUUAGUGCAAUGGCAUAAGCCAGCUUGACUGCGAGCGUGACGGCGCGAGCAGGUGCGAAAGCAGGUCAUAGUGAUCCGGUGGUUCUGAAUGGAAGGGCCAUCGCUCAACGGAUAAAAGGUACUCCGGGGAUAACAGGCUGAUACCGCCCAAGAGUUCAUAUCGACGGCGGUGUUUGGCACCUCGAUGUCGGCUCAUCACAUCCUGGGGCUGAAGUAGGUCCCAAGGGUAUGGCUGUUCGCCAUUUAAAGUGGUACGCGAGCUGGGUUUAGAACGUCGUGAGACAGUUCGGUCCCUA